rnacentral:rRNA from 1 species
UACGAGGGGUGCAAGCGUUGCUCGGAAUUAUUGGGCGUAAAGCGCGCGUAGGCGGCUACCUAAGUCGGAUGUGAAAGCCCCUGGCUUAACCGGGGAAGUGCACCCGAAACUGGGUAGCUAGAGUGCAAAAGAGGGUCGCGGAAUUCCCAGUGUAGAGGUGAAAUUCGUAGAUAUUGGGAGGAACACCUGUGGCGAAAGCGGCGCACUGGACCAUAACUGACGCUGAGGCGCGAAAGCUAGGGGAGCAAACAGG